rnacentral:rRNA from 1 species
UUACCUGGUCUUGACAUACACAGAAUCUUGUAGAGAUACGAGAGUGCCUUCGGGAAUUGUGAUACAGGUGCUGCAUGGCUGUCGUCAGCUCGUGUCGUGAGAUGUUGGGUUAAGUCCCGCAACGAGCGCAACCCUUGUCCUUAGUUACCAGCACUUCGGGUGGGAACUCUAAGGAUACUGCCAGUGACAAACUGGAGGAAGGCGGGGACGACGUCAAGUCAUCAUGGCCCUUACGACCAGGGCUACACACGUGCUACAAUGGUAGGUACAGAGGGCAGCUACACAGCGAUGUGAUGCGAAUCUCAAAAAGCCUAUCGUAGUCCAGAUUGGAGUCUGCAACUCGACUCCAUGAAGUAGGAAUCGCUAGUAAUCGCGGAUCAGAAUGCCGCGGUGAAUACGUUCCCGGGCCUUGUACACACCGCCCGUCACACCAUGGGAGUUGAUUGCACCAGAAGUGGUUAGCCUAACUUAGUGAGGGCGAUCACCACGGUGUGGUCGAUGACUGGGGUGAAGUCGUAACAAGGUAACC